GGUUAAGCUGACGAGUGGCGAACGGGUGAGUAAUAUAUCGGAACGUGCCCAGUCGUGGGGGAUAACUGCUCGAAAGAGCAGCUAAUACCGCAUACGACCUGAGGGUGAAAGCGGGGGAUCGCAAGACCUCGCGCGAUUGGAGCGGCCGAUAUCAGAUUAGGUAGUUGGUGGGGUAAAGGCCCACCAAGCCAACGAUCUGUAGCUGGUCUGAGAGGACGACCAGCCACACUGGGACUGAGACACGGCCCAGACUCCUACGGGAGGCAGCAGUGGGGAAUUUUGGACAAAUGGGCGCAAAGCCUGAUCCAGCCAUGCCGCGUGCGGGGAAGAAGGCCUUCGGGUUGUAAACCGCUUUUGUCAGGG
rnacentral:rRNA from 1 species